rnacentral:rRNA from 1 species
AGAGUUUGGUCCUGGCUCAGAGAGAACAUUGUGGGUGGGUUUAAGGCAUUGCAAGUGAAAAAGUCAUGGAUUAUAAGUGACCGAUCGCGUACGGGGGUAGGAAAGCACUGGGAAAGAAUCCAUGGGCGGGUGAAAAUCCGGGAUAAGGAAAAGAGAGGAGAACCAAUAGAAGGGGAAGCUUUUCCCAUGGGAAUGACAGUGGUCUUUGAGGUCGUUGGGGCGGUGAAAGACCCCAAGCCAAUGAUAAGCAACAGUAUUGGGAGAUAGUACUGUCCCACUAGCACUGAGAUACGGGCUAGACGACAUUAGUCGGCAGCAGCCGAGAAUCAUGGCCAAUGGGCGAAAGCUUGAGUCUGCAAUACCCAAGACGGAAGAGUAAGAAAGGCAGAGGCUGUAAACGUCAGAAACCAUGGAAGAUAGAGACGGUACAUGGUGGAUUAGUUACGUCCAAUGAUUGUGCCAGCAGACGCGGUCAGGCAACGGUAGCGAAUGUUGUUCUAGUGGAUUGGGCCUAGAGGGUUGUUAGGUGGUCGAGAGGAGUCAAAGGGGAAAGACUUCUGAAAGGGAGAGAGAGCGAGAGACCUCUAGACUGGAGUCUGGGAGAGGGAAAUAGAAUUGCAUUCGGACCAGUGAAAUGGGAUGAGGGGUGUGAGAAUACCAGAGAUGAAGAUGGUUUCCUGGAACAGUACUGACGCUGAGCAACGAAGGUAUAGGGAGCGAAGGGGAUUAGAGACCCCCGUAGUCUAUACUGUCAACGAUGUAUGCCAUUUUUUAUGAAAGUAGGAAGAAAGCGAAGGCAAAGAGCAUACCGCCUGGAGAGUAAGACCGCAAGGUAGGAACUCAAAGGACUAGCCGGGGACUUAUCCGACCAAUGGAAUAUGCCACUUAAUGCGAUGAUACGCGGGGAACCUUACCCGGGCUAGUGGCUGCGGGAGAGACGAGAUUCUGGAGGAGGGGUUUCGUAGGUAGCGUAGCAUCAGGUGCCACAUAGUCGUCGUCAGCUCAUGCCGUGAGGUCUGUGGUUAAGUCCACGCAAUGAGCGUAACCCCAUGGUGGCAGUAACUGCGGAGACGCAGGGAUUGUGGCCCACUGCCGUAGAGAAUACGGAGGAAGGAAGGUAGAAGUCAGAUCAGUAUAGCCCCAAUGCCCGGGGCGGUAGGUGUAUUACAGUGACCAUAGACAGUGUGAGACCAUAAGGAGACUUGGAGUAGACACGAAAGGAGGUCGCGGUACGGAUUGAGCUCUGCAACGAGCUCAU